rnacentral:tRNA from 1 species
GGGCAGGUGGCGAAAUUGGUAGACGCGCUGGGCUUAGGACUCAGUUCCCUUAAUCGGGAGUGGAGGUUCAAAUCCUCUCCUGCCCACCA